rnacentral:rRNA from 1 species
CCCUUAGAUGUUCUGGGCCGCACGCGUGCUACACUGAGUGGAUCAGCGGGUCAGGUUGCGCGAAAGCGUUUCCUAAUCUUUAAAUCCGCUCGUGAUGGGGAUUGACGGUUGCAAUUUUCUGUCAUGAACGAGGAAUACCUUGUAAGCGCGGGUCAUCAUCCCGCGCUGAAUACGUCCCUGACCUUUGUACACACCGCCCGUCGCUCCUACCGAUUGAGUGGUCCGGUGAGGCUUUGGGAUCUGAGCGGAAAGAGCGUUUCGCUGUUUCUGCUCGGAAAACUCAGUCGAACCUUAUCAUUUAGAGGAAGGAGAAGUCGUAACA